AUGAACGCUGGCGGCGUGCCUAAUCCAUGCCAGUCGAGCGAACAGACGAGGAGCUUGCUCCUCUGACGUUAGCGGCGGACGGGUGAGUAACACGUGGAUAACCUACCUAUAAGACUGGGAUAACUUCGGGAAACCGGAGCUAAUACCGGAUAAUAUAUUGAACCGCAUGGUUCCAUAGUGAAAGACGGUUUUGCUGUCACUUAUAGAUGGAUCCGCGCCGCAUUAGCUAGUUGGUAAGGUAACGGCUUACCAAGGCAACGAUGCGUAGCCGACCUGAGAGGGUGAUCGGCCACACUGGAACUGAGACACGGUCCAGACUCCUACGGGAGGCAGCAGUAGGGAAUCUUCCGCAAUGGGCGAAAGCCUGACGGAGCAACGCCGCGUGAGUGAUGAAGGUCUUCGGAUCGUAAAACUCUGUUAUUAGGGAAGAACAAAUGUGUAAGUAACUAUGCACGUCUUGACGGUACCUAAUCAGAAAGCCACGGCUAACUACGUG
rnacentral:rRNA from 1 species